UACAGAGGGGGCGAGCGUUGUUCGGAAUUACUGGGCGUAAAGGGCGCGUAGGCGGCCUUCUAAGUCGAACGUGAAAUCCCCGGGCUCAACCUGGGAACUGCAUUUGUGACUGCAUGGCUAGAGUGCGGCAGAGGGGGAUGGAAUUCCGCGUGUAGCAGUGAAAUGCGUAGAUAUGCGGAGGAACACCGAUGGCGAAGGCAAUCCCCUGGGCCUGCACUGACGCUCAUGCACGAAAGCGUGGGGAGCAAACAGG
rnacentral:rRNA from 1 species